rnacentral:hammerhead_ribozyme from 1 species
AUCCAGCUGACGAGUCCUAAAUAGGAUGAAACGCACGUCCUAAAC